rnacentral:rRNA from 1 species
AGAUGGGAGCUUGCUCCCUGAUGUUAGCGGCGGACGGGUGAGUAACACGUGGGUAACCUGCCUGUAAGACUGGGAUAACUCCGGGAAACCGGGGCUAAUACCGGAUGCUUGUUUGAACCGCAUGGUUCAGACAUAAAAGGUGGCUUCGGCUACCACUUACAGAUGGACCCGCGGCGCAUUAGCUAGUUGGUGAGGUAACGGCUCACCAAGGCAACGAUGCGUAGCCGACCUGAGAGGGUGAUCGGCCACACUGGGACUGAGACACGGCCCAGACUCCUACGGGAGGCAGCAGUAGGGAAUCUUCCGCAAUGGACGAAAGUCUGACGGAGCAACGCCGCGUGAGUGAUGAAGGUUUUCGGAUCGUAAAGCUCUGUUGUUAGGGAAGAACAAGUGCCGUUCAAAUAGGGCGGCACCUUGACGGUACCUAACCAGAAAGCCACGGCUAACUACGUGCCAGCAGCCGCGGUAAUACGUAGGUGGCAAGCGUUGUCCGGAAUUAUUGGGCGUAAAGGGCUCGCAGGCGGUUUCUUAAGUCUGAUGUGAAAGCCCCCGGCUCAACCGGGGAGGGUCAUUGGAAACUGGGGAACUUGAGUGCAGAAGAGGAGAGUGGAAUUCCACGUGUAGCGGUGAAAUGCGUAGAGAUGUGGAGGAACACCAGUGGCGAAGGCGACUCUCUGGUCUGUAACUGACGCUGAGGAGCGAAAGCGUGGGGAGCGAACAGGAUUAGAUACCCUGGUAGUCCACGCCGUAAACGAUGAGUGCUAAGUGUUAGGGGGUUUCCGCCCCUUAGUGCUGCAGCUAACGCAUUAAGCACUCCGCCUGGGGAGUACGGUCGCAAGACUGAAACUCAAAGGAAUUGACGGGGGCCCGCACAAGCGGUGGAGCAUGUGGUUUAAUUCGAAGCAACGCGAAGAACCUUACCAGGUCUUGACAUCCUCUGACAAUCCUAGAGAUAGGACGUCCCCUUCGGGGGCAGAGUGACAGGUGGUGCAUGGUUGUCGUCAGCUCGUGUCGUGAGAUGUUGGGUUAAGUCCCGCAACGAGCGCAACCCUUGAUCUUAGUUGCCAGCAUUCAGUUGGGCACUCUAAGGUGACUGCCGGUGACAAACCGGAGGAAGGUGGGGAUGACGUCAAAUCAUCAUGCCCCUUAUGACCUGGGCUACACACGUGCUACAAUGGACAGAACAAAGGGCAGCGAAACCGCGAGGUUAAGCCAAUCCCACAAAUCUGUUCUCAGUUCGGAUCGCAGUCUGCAACUCGACUGCGUGAAGCUGGAAUCGCUAGUAAUCGCGGAUCAGCAU